rnacentral:misc_RNA from 1 species
ACACCUCAACUCUCAUGGCUUGCCGUGAUGAGCUUGGACUUUGGGGGUCUUGCUGGCCUGCAGUCAGCUCCUCUCAAAUCAAUCAGCUUGCCAGUGUUUGGUGGCAUCACGGGUGUGAUAACUAUCUACGCUCGCUGUCGUCUGCCAGGUAACCUUCGUCACCGAAGGUUUGCUGGGGCUUACAAACGUCUCUCCUUAGCGAAGACAGCUUUUGAAC